CCUACGGGGUGCAGCAGUGGGGAAUAUUGGACAAUGGGCGAAAGCCCGAUCCAGCCAUGCCGCGUGUGUGAAGAAGGCCUUCGGGUUGUAAAGCACUUUCAGUGGGGAAGAAAGCCUUGGGGCUAAUACCCUCGAGGAAGGACAUCACCCACAGAAGAAGCACCGGCUAACUCCGUGCCAGCAGCCGCGGUAAUACGGAGGGUGCGAGCGUUAAUCGGAAUUACUGGGCGUAAAGCGCGCGUAGGCGGUCUGAUAAGCCGGUUGUGAAAGCCCCGGGCUCAACCUGGGAACGGCAUCCGGAACUGUCAGGCUAGAGUGCAGGAGAGGAAGGUAGAAUUCCCGGUGUAGCGGUGAAAUGCGUAGAGAUCGGGAGGAAUACCAGUGGCGAAGGCGGCCUUCUGGACUGACACUGACGCUGAGGUGCGAAAGCGUGGGUAGCAAACAGGAUUAGAUACCCCAGUAGUC
rnacentral:rRNA from 1 species